AUUGAACGCUGGCGGCAGGCCUAACACAUGCAAGUCGAGCGGAUGAGGGUAGCUUGCUACCUGAUUCAGCGGCGGACGGGUGAGUAAUGCCUAGGAAUCUGCCUGGUAGUGGGGGACAACGUUUCGAAAGGAACGCUAAUACCGCAUACGUCCUACGGGAGAAAGUGGGGAUCUUCGGACCUCACGCUAUCAGAUGAGCCUAGGUCGGAUUAGCUAGUUGGUGGGGUAAAGGCUCACCAAGGCGACGAUCCGUAACUGGUCUGAGAGGAUGAUCAGUCACACUGGAACUGAGACACGGUCCAGACUCCUACGGGAGGCAGCAGUGGGGAAUAUUGGACAAUGGGCGCAAGCCUGAUCCAGCCAUGCCGCGUGUGUGAAGAAGGUCUUCGGAUUGUAAAGCACUUUAAGUUGGGAGGAAGGGCAGUAAGUUAAUACCUUGCUGUUUUGACGUUACCGACAGAAUAAGCACCGGCUAACUCUGUGCCAGC
rnacentral:rRNA from 1 species